AUUGAACGCUGGCGGAAUGCUUUACACAUGCAAGUCGAGCGGCAGCGCGGGGGCAACCCUGGCGGCGAGCGGCGAACGGGUGAGUAACAUAUCGGAACGUACCCAGUCGUGGGGGAUAACUAUCCGAAAGGAUAGCUAAUACCGCAUACGACCUGAGGGUGAAAGCGGGGGACCGAAAGGCCUCGCGCGAUUGGAGCGGCCGAUAUCGGAUUAGCUAGUUGGUGAGGUAAAGGCUCACCAAGGCGACGAUCCGUAGCUGGUCUGAGAGGACGACCAGCCACACUGGAACUGAGACACGGUCCAGACUCCUACGGGAGGCAGCAGUGGGGAAUUUUGGACAAUGGGGGCAACCCUGAUCCAGCCAUGCCGCGUGAGUGAAGAAGGCCUUCGGGUUGUAAGCUCUUUCGGUCCGGGAAGAAAUACGCAUGGGCGUAA
rnacentral:rRNA from 1 species